rnacentral:tRNA from 2 species
GGGCCCUUAGCUUAGUUGGUAGAGCGCCUCAUUUGCAAUGAGGAGGUCACCGGUUCGAAUCCGGUAGGGUCCACAA